UCUACCAGUCAGAUGAGUGCAGCACAUCGGAGACAGAAUUACAGAAAUAUAUUCAAGAAGAAGUAUAAAACCGUCCACCAAAUUUUGAUGUGCUAGAGUGGUGGAAGGUGAAUUCAAGCAGAUAUCCAAUACUUGCAAGCAUUGCAAGAGAGGUUUUUGCCAUACCGAUAUCCAGUGUAGCCUCUGAAUCUGCUUUUAGUAAUGGAGGAAGGAUCCUUGACGCAUAUUGUAGUUCUUUAACAGCGGCUAGUGUGGAAGCACUUAUUUUUACUGAAGAUUGGCUAAAAGGAGUAGUUCCAUCUUUUCUUAGUAUUGAGGAUCUCGAUGAUAUUGAUCGAAUUGAGGAUGAACUACAUUCUACACCGGAUGCUGGCAGUUGCUCGGCUUUUAUGUCAAUUGUUGAUGAUUGAAAACUUGGUGAUUGGUUUACUCCCAAGUCACUGAUAAUAUUAUAGUAUUUUAAGCUUCGAAGGUGCGAGAUUGUCAAUGCUGGUGUUAGUUUACUUCUGGCGGCUGUCCCGGAAAACACUUAUUAUUGUGGUGUUUUCUUAUUGCUUAUUGAAAUCAAAUUUAGAGGAUACAUCACUCUAUAUGUCAAGUAACAUGGGAGAAAG